GACUACCAUAGAUUAGUGGUUAGAUCGCCGGCCCGAGAUUAAUUUCAACGGCGGGAGGCCGGGGUUCGAAUCCCUGUAGUGUCA